rnacentral:rRNA from 1 species
GGAGUUAGCCGGUGCUUCUUCUGCGAGUAACGUCACAGAUGUAAGGUAUUAACUUACACCCUUUCUCCUCGCUGAAAGUGCUUUACAACCCGAAGGCCUUCUUCACACACGCGGCAUGGCUGCAUCAGGGUUUCCCCCAUUGUGCAAUAUUCCCCACUGCUGCCUCCCGUAGGAGUCUGGGCCGUGUCUCAGUCCCAGUGUGGCUGAUCAUCCUCUCAGACCAGCUAGGGAUCGUCGCCUAGGUGAGCCUUUACCUCACCUACUAGCUAAUCCCACCUGGGCUUAUCCAUCAGCGCAAGGCCCGAAGGUCCCCUGCUUUCCCCCGUAGGGCGUAUGCGGUAUUAGCAGUCGUUUCCAACUGUUAUCCCCCACAAAUGGGCAAAUUCCCAGGCAUUACUCACCCGUCCGCCGCUCGUCAUCUUCAAAAGCAAGCUUUUGAAAUGUUACCGCUCGACUUGCAUGUGUUAGGCCUGCCGCCAGCGUUCAAUCUGAACCAAGAUCAAACUCUGA